AAAAAUAAUUAAGUCAAUAAGUCAAUGCUUUAGAUGUUUGACACUAAAAUUGUGUUUGGUAUGAACAAAGGUUAUCACUUUUCAAGAAAUUUAUUUGAAAAAAAAAAAAUCAUAUUGUGGAUUGAUUCAAAUAUUUGCUAAUAAUGAGUGAGAAUUAAGGCUGAAAUUUCGUGAUUGAGCUUUGGAUUUAUUCCUGUCUGCCUGUUGGCACGCCUUUGUCGGCUUGUUGGCACGCCUUUGUCCCUUUGCUUCUUUAAUCUCGUACUUGUUGAUUUUCUUGUUGUUCUACCCACGGGGGUGGUUUUUGGGUAUUGUUUUGUUGUUGUAGAAGCGUGAUGGAAAGAGGAAUAGCAUAUCUGAGUAUAGAGGAUCGGGAAGAAGAGGCUUUCUCUGUUCCGGAUGGAGUGGAGCCUCAGAAUUCAGUUUAUAAUUUCUGUUUGGUGGGCUGGUACUUGACAGCAAGUGUGGUUCAUUUUCCAGCCAUGAGGAACAUGAUGGCUAACUUAUGGCAUCCAUUGGACGGAAUGCAGAUUUCAAAUCUAGGCGAAAAAUGUUUUUUAUUCAAAUUCUUUAAUGAGUUAGAUAUCAGUCGGGUGAUUACAGGUGUUCCCUGGACCUUCAACAAUCAUAUUUUGAUUAUGCAUAGAUUACAGGACAAUGAGGAUCCUAUGUCAAUUUCGCUGUUGUAUUCAGACUUUUGGGUUUAGGUGCAUGAUUUACCACUGAGAUUUUUCAAAGAAUCAGUGGUCAUGGGGAUAAUUUCUGCCUAGUGAUAUUACAUCACGACAUGCAUGAGACAGAGAUGGGGUGGGAUUUAACGCUGUGUGCACAGUCGAGAAGAGCUACAACAAUGAAUAGCAUUUGGCUAAGGGAGGAAGGAAAUGGGAGUUUUUUUUGGAAAGAAUAGUGAUGGAUAGCAGGUUGGACAAGAUUCAAGUCAAAAUUACGGGAAAGAAUCAUGGGAUUUAAUUUGAAGGGAUCUGCAAUUAAAAAAAUUUGAUUGGGGUGGGAUCCUCUAAUAGGUCAAGCCUGGUGAUUAUGGAGCGUGAUUUGGAUGAUAACCCAAUUAAAAAUGUUUGAGGGAAAUAAGUGACAACGUUUUGAUUUUUUUAUCUCUAACGUUUGUAGGAAUCAAGAUUCGCUAGAGAUCAAUGAUGGGCAUAUUGCCCAUAAUCAACAGUAAUCGGCGGACAAAAUGAAGAUCUUAUGUUGGAAUAUCCGCAGGUUGGGGAGUGCGCAUGCAGUACGUAGACUUCAGCAUAUACUGAAUAUUUAUAAUCUCCAAAUUGUCUUCUUUAUAGAGAAAAUUAGAAGGCGUUGUGGAAUUUUUAAUGGUGUUGAUGUUCCUGCUGAUGCUACUUACAGAGAGUUGAGUUUUGGAUGGAAUGGAAGAUAGUUAGUUACUCUUAGGAGCUUAUUGAGGAACUACAUUGAUGUUGAAAUUCAGGAGAAUAAGGAAAAUACAUGAUGGAGGUUAAUAGGCUUUUAUGGGGCACCAGAUGUGAGAGAAAAGGUUGAAACGUAGAACCUACUUCGGACAUUGGGUAGGAAUAGUGAUUUACCAUGGCUAGUUAGAGGAAAAUUCAAUGAUAUCCUCUACGUGCAUGAAAAAUAAGGAGGAUUACUAAGAGAGGAAGAUAGAAUGGAGGAAUUUCGUACGAACUUUAGAAGACUGCCAAUUGGGGGAUAUAGGUUAUUCGGGUCCAUGGUUUACGUGAGAGAGGGGGAAUGUGAUAGAAAGGAGAAUUAAGGAAAGAAUUGAUAGAGAGGUAGCAACUUCAGAAUGGUUACAACUCUUCCCAGAAUGUUCGCUAAGACAUUUAUCUUACUCAUUCUUAGAUCAUUGUCUACUAAUCCAAAUGGAGUAUGAGGGGUUGAGAAGAAGAAAGAGUAGGUUUUAUUUUGAAGCUUGGCAGACUUUAAAAGAGACAUUAGGGAGAAAUCAUAAGAUGAUGGGAAGAGAGUUCAGGUGGUUUUAUGGAUAAAAUUGUGGCUCUCACUGUUGGAAUGCAAACUUGGGUAGGAAAAAAAAAGACAGGAAGUGAAGUGGUUAAUGAGAAGAUUAGAGGAAUUGGAUGACUAUGACAGAUCGGACGAAAUUUUGGCUGAGUUGUGGAUGUGAAAUUACAUUUAAAAAUGGAGAUGGAGAUGGAAAAGGAAGAAAGGUAUUGGAGGCUAAAGUGAAUUGGCUGAAAAUGGGAGAAAAAAUACUUCAUUUUUCCAUAAUCAUGAAUCUUAGAGAUGGCGCAUGAAUCAAAUAGGGGGUCUAUAAAGGGAAGACGAUACACUGACCUUUGAUCUUCAUGAGAUGGAAGAUAUUGCUCGAAACUAUUUUAAAAAUUGUUUGAGACGAAAGGGGUUGGAAAUCUUGAACAUGUGCUGCCUGGGGUAUCAACAAAAGCUUCGGGGACAAACAACAUUCCAGCACUUUUCUACCAGAAAUUCUGGCAAAUUGUUGGUAAAAAUACUAGCUCUUUCUAUUUGAAUAUUCUAAAUAAUGGAAAUUCUUUGGAAGAUCUAAAUAAAACUAGUAUAGUUUUAAUACCAAAGAUUUCUCAUCCUUUUAAUCAAAAAAACUUUUGCCCUAUGAGUCUAUGUACGGUGAUUUAUAAGAUUAUUGCUCAGACUGUUGCUAAUCGCCUACAAAAGGUUAUGGACUUUUGAGUUGAUGAUUCUUAGAA